AUGGCUCAGGACGAACGCUGGCGGCGUGCCUAACACAUGCAAGUCGAGCGGAGACAGUGAGUAGCUUGCUACGAACUGUUUUAGCGGCGGACGGGUGAGUAACGCGUGAGCAACCUUUCCCAGACAGGGGAAUAACACACCGAAAGGUGUACUAAUACCGCAUAAGACCACGGUUUCACAUGGGACUGAGGUAAAAGAUUUAUCGGUUUGGGGUGGGCUCGCGUCCGAUUAGGUAGUUGGUGAGGUAACGGCCCACCAAGCCGACGAUCGGUAGCCGACCUGAGAGGGUGAUCGGCCACAUUGGGACUGAGACACGGCCCAAACUCCUACGGGAGGCAGCAGUGGGGAAUAUUGGGCAAUGGAGGAAACUCUGACCCAGCAACGCCGCGUGGAGGAAGAAGGUUUUCGGAUCGUAAACUCCUGUCCUUGGAGACGAGUAGAAGACGGUAUCCAAGGAGGAAGCCCCGGCUAACUACGUG
rnacentral:rRNA from 1 species